UAGAAUCAUGAAAAAGUGUAUUCUAGGAACUUUUAGCAUUUUGAAGGAAGUUUCCAACGGUACCAAGUUUUCCAAUCUUUGACAUGUAAAAGGUGAGCUACGAUUUUUCAAAGUAUUGCAUCAAAACUGAAAUUUUCCGUAUUCCAAGGAAAUGGAGUUUUUCAAGUACUCCUUAUUCCUUCGAUAAUAUUCAAAUGUCUUAUCCUUGAAUUUCAUGAUGUAGACUUAAUUUCUCUUGUACCUUGAAACCCCGCUUGAGAAUUUAGAUUUAGGAUAAUUAAGACUUGUUCACGAGAUUUUUCCUAAGUUUGUACUAUGACACGAUUUUCAACAAUAGUAGGAAUUGUAAAUGAUAGACUAUUACUAUUCGUUCAGGCGCACGCGAGGACCUUUAAGAGGAUCCGACAGAGGACACUUGAACUUCAAAUUGAACCUAUUGCCCUUGUUUGACUAGGUUCUGACAACUGAGGAAGACUUGAGAUCUACUUGUACUUUAAGCAUGUAGUUUGAAUUAAACAAUGUAGCUUUUGUUUCGGGUUGCCACUUGAAGUUGGAAAAGUGUAAACCCUGGAUUUGUAUGUGGCUUGUAUGAAUUUGUUACUUGGCUUGUAAGGAUGUAUUUGAAUUGUUUUUUUUUUGUUUCUUGGGUUGUAUUCGGGAAGAUAUUUUA